GGAUAAAACUUGGCUUUUCGUGGACAAGGACCGUGAUCCAGGAGUUAAAUCGCUCCUUUUAAGGCCGUUCUCUCCCAGCCCUGUGAGAAGAGGUAAUUUUGCAAAUUAGCCCAAGAACCCUGAAUGAGUUAACCCCUCUGAAGCAGGAGUGCAUCUCGCUCCACCACCAAAGGUUUGGGCCUGCACGUUCCAGACCCUUCUGCUGCCUUCUCCCUCUGGGCCUGUUCACGUCACUCCAGCUCUUCUCCAAGGAGCCGGCUGGGUCUGGCCGGAGACGCUGCCAGCUCCACGGAGCCGUCAGCCUUCAGAGCAGCACCUUGGGCCAGGAAACACGGACAGGGGGAGUUCUGUGUGCGACUAAUGGACCCCAGAUAGAGCCACUCUUCAGUCACUGCCGUCACUUGAAAAUGCAUUUCCAGUUGACAAUAGCCGUCUGCCUAUAGAUAGCUCCACGCAGAGAUGGCUGGUCAGGCUGCUCUCCCAGAUGCCUGGGUCAGCAAUUUCCAAAGCAUCCAGUCAGCAGUUCCUGCUUCCUCCAGCAAAGUCUGGCUCUCUCCUCCCAUCUCCCAGUCCCAGGACAGGGUCCGGGCCUAGAGGGGACAGUGGCCGCCCCAAUCCGUUGCCAACAGCAGGCCCCUCUCUCUGCGCUGCCUCCAGGCCCCCAGCAGCAUCCACUUUUUAAAGGUGCCACCCGUGCCACCAGGAAGUCUCGUGUUCAGAAGUGUUCCCCAGACACGACGGGCCCCAGUCACAGUGCCUGGUCACCUGCAGGAGGCGCACCUGUGCUGCCCAGAUGCCGACAAAGCCCAGAGCGAGCAGGCAACUCCCCGCAGGACUCAGUGAACCAGGUUUGAACCCAGGUCGGCUGAUUUAUGCCCAUGUGUGUCUAUGCUGUUUAUAUGCGGGUACACGCGUGCAUAUGGCUGUGUGCACAUAUAG
rnacentral:lncRNA from 1 species